GAUGAACGCUGGCGGCGUGCCUAAUACAUGCAAGUCGAGCGAACGGACGAGAAGCUUGCUUCUCUGAUGUUAGCGGCGGACGGGUGAGUAACACGUGGAUAACCUACCUAUAAGACUGGGAUAACUUCGGGAAACCGGAGCUCAUACCGGAUAAUAUUUUGAACCGCAUGGUUCAAAAGUGAAAGACGGUCUUGCUGUCACUUAUAGAUGGAUCCGCGCUGCAUUAGCUAGUUGGUAAGGUAACGGCUUACCAAGGCAACGAUGCAUAGCCGACCUGAGAGGGUGAUCGGCCACACUGGAACUGAGACACGGUCCAGACUCCUACGAGAGGCAGCAGUAGGGAAUCUUCCGCAAUGGGCGAAAGCCUGACGGAGCAACGCCGCGUGAGUGAUGAAGGUCUUCGGAUCGUAAAACUCUGUUAUUAGGAAAGAACAUAUGUGUAAGUAACUGUGCACAUCUUGACGGUACCUAAUCAGAAAGCCACGGCUAACUACGUG
rnacentral:rRNA from 1 species